UACGUAGGGUGCAAGCGUUGUCCGGAAUUAUUGGGCGUAAAGAGCUCGUAGGCGGCUUGUCGCGUCGGCUGUGAAAACCUGGGGCUCAACCCCGGGCCUGCAGCCGAUACGGGCAAGCUAGAAUUCGGUAGGGGAGACUGGAAUUCCUGGUGUAGCGGUGAAAUGCGCAGAUAUCAGGAGGAACACCGGUGGCGAAGGCGGGUCUCUGAGCCGAAAUUGACGCUGAGGAGCGAAAGCGUGGGGAGCAAACAGG
rnacentral:rRNA from 1 species